UACAGAGGGUGCGAGCGUUAAUCGGAAUUACUGGGCGUAAAGCGCGCGUAGGCGGCUUUGCAAGUCGGGUGUGGAAUCUCCAGGCUUAACCUGGGAACUGCAUUCGAGACUGCAUUGCUAGAGUAUGGGAGAGGGAAGUGGAAUUUCAGGUGUAGCGGUGAAAUGCGUAGAUAUCUGAAGGAACAUCAGUGGCGAAAGCGACUUCCUGGACCAAUACUGACGCUCAUGUGCGAAAGCGUGGGGAGCAAACAGG
rnacentral:rRNA from 1 species